CAUGAUAAGCUUGUCAUUUUGAUUCAGAAGAUUUUCCUCAUACAAAGGUGCUAACUCUUUGACAAAAAUUGUCAUUUUACACUUGAGGCUCGACAUAAAUUACAAACCCGACAAAGAUCAUAGAAACUGAAAAGGCUAGGUACAACAACACGAGAGAUCAAAAGAAAUGACAGACUGUGUGAUUCCUAAAGCCAGGUGUUGACAUGAUACUCUCUCUACAAUCAAUAAUCAGGCCGUGGCUCCGUCACCUAGCUGAAGGGUUAUUUUAAUGUUCAUAGCAGCAAGUUCAGCUGCCAAGUAUCUAAAAACAUAGGGCAUUGCAACAGUCUCCAUGC
rnacentral:lncRNA from 1 species